GAUGAAGAACGUAGCGAAAUGCGAUACGUAAUGUGAAUUGCAGAAUUCAGUGAAUCAUCGAGUCUUUGAACGCGCAUUGCGCCCCCUGGUAUUCCGGGGGGCAUGCCUGUCCGAGCGUCAUUGCUGCCCUCAAGCACGGCUUGUGUGUUGGGCCUCCGCCCCCCGGCUCCCGGGGGGCGGGCCCGAAAGGCAGCGGCGGCACCGCGUCCGGUCCUCGAGCGUAUGGGGCUUCGUCACCCGCUCCGUAGGCCCGGCCGGCGCCCGCCGGCGACCCCCCUCAAUCUUUCCAGGUUGACCUCGGAUCAGGUAGGGAUACCCGCUGAACUUAAGCAUAUCAAUAAGCGGAGGA
rnacentral:misc_RNA from 1 species